rnacentral:rRNA from 1 species
AACGAACGCUGGCGGCAUGCCUGACACAUGCAAGUCGAACGAGACCUUCGGGUCUAGUGGCGCACGGGUGCGUAACGCGUGGGAACCUGCCCUUAGGUUCGGAAUAACUCCCCGAAAGGGGUGCUAAUACCGGAUAAUGUCUUCGGACCAAAGAUUUAUCGCCUUUGGAUGGGCCCGCGUUGGAUUAGCUAGUUGGUAGGGUAAAAGCCUACCAAGGCGACGAUCCAUAGCUGGUCUGAGAGGAUGAUCAGCCACACUGGGACUGAGACACGGCCCAGACUCCUACGGGAGGCAGCAGUGGGGAAUAUUGGACAAUGGGCGAAAGCCUGAUCCAGCAAUGCCGCGUGAGUGAUGAAGGCCUUAGGGUUGUAAAGCUCUUUUACCCGGGAUGAUAAUGACAGUACCGGGAGAAUAAGCUCCGGCCAACUCCGUG